rfam:Agrilus planipennis Contig9460, whole genome shotgun sequence.
UUGGCCCUAAAACGGCCUGAGGUAGAGGGGUUUUAGUCGGUAGGUCCGAGGACUUCUUCCUCGGGAAUCCGACACUACCCAAUCGUACGGACGGCUGGGUAUCUUUUGAAAAUUUCCCCUCUUCCGCGAA